rnacentral:tRNA from 1 species
CUCAGUGUAGCCUAGCGGAUAAAGCACUAGAGUGGGACUCAGGAGACCUGGGUUCUACUCCCAGCUCUGCCA